CUUUGACUUCGGUAAAUUAUAAAUACACACAAGAAAAUAGAGCUUUUCGCGGAUAUCGGUUUUAUUAGUAGGUUGGAAUAUUAUUAAAGUUCACUAAUAAAUAAACCCUCUUUAGUGUUUAGGCUUUAAGCAUUAUUAAGUUAUACUUAUGUGAGGUAUUUUUUAUACAAUUAAUUUUUUUUAUUAUUAUUGCAACCAAAUAGGUAUUUUAAGGUUUACUAAGAAUAAUUAAAAGUGUUUGACUUAUUUUGAUCCGUAUUUAGUAACUGAUAAGGUUCGAACGACAACUGACUAAAGACAUGACACUGGAAUAAGAAUAAGUCCAAUGUUUAGCGAGCAGAUAAGGCAGCUCAUUUUUGUUCACACAUAUACCAAUGUGUGUAUGAAGUAUAUACAGCUGUGUGAGUAUUCAUAUUCAUAUUCGUUUUUAUACAUACAUAUGAAUAUUUUCAACACCACAAAUGAAGAAUUGUGCAGUUCGUAGAUAAGUUGAAAAAGGAAGCAAUAUUUAUUUUGAAGUAUUAAAUAUGUCAAAUGUAUAAACCUUUACGAUGCCAUUGUGAUUCUGAUAGUGACGAAAAGUUAAAUGUUAACUACCCUGCAAACCUGACACCUAGAAUAUCUAAAGCAAGAAGAGAUUUUUUCGAAACAGCCCAGCUACACAUAUGUAUGUACAUAUUUUGUACUUGCGUGUAGGAACAAAAAAUCGAAUAGUCAAAUAAUAUUUUUCAAACAGUAUGUACGAGGCUAACUAAUCAGCCAACUAUCUAUGUAUGGUAUAUAAUGUUCCUACGAAACUGCGAUACGAGGUACGAAUCGGCCCAUAGUGGUUAGUUAUGCCAACAGGUAUAACUGUUUAAAAAUAUAUAAAACGUUCUAGGUUGGUUAUGCAGAAAAACCACUGGUAAAGUAAAAAACUUCAUUCGAAAAUCGUUAUAUAAUUAGUCAUCUAAUACUUUACCUUUAUCUAAUUGGAUUUCACAUGAGAACUGGUAUUUUUAAACCGUUAUAUAUCCUGAUUAAUUAAAUAUUUCACAGCAGGAAUAUACAUAUACGAGUACAUAUGUACAGCGUACCUACCUACUUUUACUCUCGCGCUUCCAUCAUCCUAAAUGCUAAAUGAAACAGUAUCUCUGGAAAUAUAUUUAAAAGCAACACAGAACGUAAAGAAGUCAUCACUUUGAACAAGUAAAAUAAGGGGACACAUCCAACCUUUGCACAGUGAUUUCGAUCAUAGGCCAAAAAUAAUAAUAAAAAUCAUGUUUAAAAAAAAAGCGGAAAAGUCAACAAAUUGUCUCUAAAAUGUCCAAACUUCUUAAUGGCAAACCGGUUUUUUCUGGAAAUCAGAAAGGACUUUCUUAAAAUAGCAUUGAAGCUCUGAUCACUUGUUCAUUUUUAAGAGGAGGUUCACGCAGAGUGAAUAUUUCACAACAAAAACGAAGUUUAAAGUGGUCAGGCGAUUUAUUACGUUUAUUAAUUUUAAUUAUUUUGAAG